ensembl:snRNA LOC120097204 U6 spliceosomal RNA
GUGCUUGCUUUGCAGCACACACACUAAAACUGUAAUGAUGCAGAGGACGAGCACGGCCCCUGGGCAAGGACUGCACUCAAAUUCCUGAAGCGUCCCGCAGUACA